rnacentral:rRNA from 1 species
GACGAACGCUGGCGGCGCGCUUAACACAUGCAAGUCGAGCGAGAACCCAGGCUUCGGCCUGGGGGAAAGCGGCGAACGGGUGAGUAUCACGUGGGUAAUCUGCCCUCGACAUCGGGAUAGCCCGGGGAAACCCGGAUUAAUACCGAAUGGCCCAUCAACUCUUCGGAGCGGAUGGAAAAGGUAGCUUUGGCCUCCGGCCGAGGAUGGGCCCGCGGCGGAUUAGCUUGUUGGUGGGGUAACGGCCUACCAAGGCUCCGAUCCGUAGCUGGUCUGAGAGGACGAUCAGCCACACUGGGACUGAGACACGGCCCAGACUCCUACGGGAGGCAGCAGUGGGGAAUCUUGCGCAAUGGGCGAAAGCCUGACGCAGCGACGCCGCGCGAGGGAAGAAGGCCUUCGGGUUGUAAACCUCUUUUAGGAGGGACGAAGCCACUCGGGUGAAUAGCCCAGAGGGUGACGGUACCUCCAGAAGAAGCCCCGGCUAACUACGUGCCAGCAGCCGCGGUAAAAC